AGUGAACGCUGGCGGUAGGCCUAACACAUGCAAGUCGAACGGCAGCACAGUAAGAGUUUGCUCUUACGGGUGGCGAGUGGCGGACGGGUGAGGAAUACAUCGGAAUCUACUUUUUCGUGGGGGAUAACGUAGGGAAACUUACGCUAAUACCGCAUACGACCUACGGGUGAAAGCAGGGGAUCUUCGGACCUUGCGCGAUUGAAUGAGCCGAUGUCGGAUUAGCUAGUUGGCGGGGUAAAGGCCCACCAAGGCGACGAUCCGUGGCUGGUCUGAGAGGAUGAUAAGCCACACUGGAACUGAGACACGGUCCAGACUCCUAAGGGAGGCAGCAGUGGGGAAUAUUGGACAAAGGGCGCAAGCAUGAUCCAGCCAUACCGCGUGGGUGAAGAAGGCCUUCGGGUUGUAAAGCCCUUUUGUUGGGAAAGAAAAGCAGCAGGUUAAUACCCCGCUGUUCUGACGGUACCCAAAGAAUAAGCACCGGCUAACUUCGUG
rnacentral:rRNA from 1 species